CUGUUAUAUAAAACAAAUAAUGAAUUUUUUUUAUUUGUUCAAUGGAAAGCCUGUUUCAUUCGGUGAAAGAUUCUUACCACUGAACUCAUAAACAUUCAUUAUUUGUAUAACACUGAGUUUCUGACAAAACCAC